UGGGGAAUAUUGCACAAUGGGCGAAAGCCUGAUGCAGCAACGCCGCGUGAGUGAUGAAGGUCUUCGGAUUUGUAAAGCUCUGUCUUUUGGGACGAUAAUGACGGUACCAAAGGAGGAAGCCACGGCUAACUACGUGCCAGCAGCCGCGGUAAUACGUAGGUGGCGAGCGUUGUCCGGAUUUACUGGGCGUAAAGGGUGCGUAGGCGGAUGUUUAAGUGAGAUGUGAAAUACCCGGGCUUAACUUGGGUGCUGCAUU
rnacentral:rRNA from 1 species